rnacentral:lncRNA from 1 species
GCAAGAUAUAAAAUCAAUACCCAUAAAUCAAAUGUAUUACUGUACAUCAGUGAUGAAUCCUCUGAAAGAGAAAUUAGGAAAACUACCCCAUUUACAAUAGCCUCAAAAAAUAUAUAUAUAUAUACACACACACACACACUUGAGAAUCAACUUAAUGAAAGACAUGAAAGAACUCUACAAUGAAAACUACAGAAUGCUAAAGAAAGAAAUUAAAGAAGACCUUAGAAGAUGGAAAGAGUUCCCUUGUUCUUGGAUACGAAGAAUUAAUACUGUCAAAAUGACCAUACUACCAAAAGCACUAUACAGAUUUAAUGCAAUUCCAAUCAAAAUCCCAAUGGCAUUCCUCAUAGGAAUAGAAAAAGCAGUCAUGAAAUUCAUCUGGAAAAAAUAACAGACACAGAAGAGCCAAAGCAAUCCUUAGCAAGAAGAGAAAAGCAGGUGGCACAACAAUACCAGACCUUAAACUAUACUACAGAGCAAUAGUAACAAAACUGGCAUGGUAUUGGCACCAAAAUAGACUUGUAGACCAGUGGUACAGAAUAGAGUACACAGAGACAAACCUACAUAAAUACAGUUAUCACAUACUAGACAAAGGCACCAAAAACAUACUGGAGAAAAGAUAGCCUCUUCUACAAAUGGUGCUGGGAAAACUGGAAAUCCAUAUGCAGCAAAAUGAAAUUACACCCCUAUCUCUCACCAUGCACAAAAUUCAACUCAAAGUGGAUCAAGGACCUAGAAGAUCAGAGACCCUGCACCUAAUAGAAGAAAAAGUAGGCCCAAGUCUUCAUCAUGUUGGAUUAGACCCCGACUUCCUUAACAAGAUUCCCAAAGUGCAAGAAAUAAAAUCAAGAAUCAAUAAAUGGAAUGGAUUCAGACUGAAAAAUCUUCUCAGCAAAAGAAACAAUCUAUGAGGUGAAAAGAGAGCCUACAGAAUGGGAGUAAAUUUUUACCAUAAGCAUAUUAGAUAGAGCACAAAUCUCUAAGAUAUAUAAAGAACUCAAAAAACUUAACACGAAAAAAAAAAACCCAAACAAAAUAACCCCAUCAAUAAAUAGGCUAAGGAACUGAACAGACACUUCGCAGAAGAAGAUAUACAAUUGAUCAACAAAUAUAUGAAAAAAUGUUCAACAUCUCUAGCAAUUAGAGAAAUGAAAACCAAAACUACUUUAAGACUUCAUCUCACUCCA